rnacentral:rRNA from 1 species
GACGAACGCUGGCGGCGUGCUUAACACAUGCAAGUCGAACGGAAAGGCCCUGCUUUUGUGGGGUGCUCGAGUGGCGAACGGGUGAGUAACACGUGAGUAACCUGCCCUUGACUUUGGGAUAACUUCAGGAAACUGGGGCUAAUACCGGAUAGGAGCUCCUGCUGCAUGGUGGGGGUUGGAAAGUUUCGGCGGUUGGGGAUGGACUCGCGGCUUAUCAGCUUGUUGGUGGGGUAGUGGCUUACCAAGGCUUUGACGGGUAGCCGGCCUGAGAGGGUGACCGGCCACAUUGGGCCUGAGCUACGCCCCAGACUCCUACGGGGGGCAGCAGUGGGAAAUAUUGCACAAUGGGCGGAAGCCGGAGGCAGCAACGCCGCGUGCGGGAUGACGGCCUUCGGGUUGUAAACCGAUUUCGCCUGUGACGAAGCGUAAGUGACGGUAAUGGAUAAAGAAGCACCGGCUAACUACGUG